rnacentral:rRNA from 1 species
AACGAACGCUGGCGGCAUGCCUAACACAUGCAAGUCGAACGAGACCUUCGGGUCUAGUGGCGCACGGGUGCGUAACGCGGGGGAACCUGCCCUUAGGUUCGGAAUAACUCCCCGAAAGGGGUGCUAAUACCGGAUAAUGUCUUCGGACCAAAGAUUUAUCGCCUUUGGAUGGGCCCGCGUUGGAUUAGCUAGUUGGUAGGGUAAAAGCCUACCAAGGCGACGAUCCAUAGCUGGUCUGAGAGGAUGAUCAGCCACACUGGGACUGAGACACGGCCCAGACUCCUACGGGGGGCAGCAGUGGGGAAUAUUGGACAAUGGGCGAAAGCCUGAUCCAGCAAUGCCGCGUGAGUGAUGAAGGCCUUAGGGUUGUAAAGCUCUUUUACCCGGGAUGAUAAUGACAGUACCGGGAGAAUAAGCUCCGGCUAACUCCGUG